AUUGAACGCUGGCGGCAUGCUUUACACAUGCAAGUCGAACGGCAGCGCGGGCUUCGGCCUGGCGGCGAGUGGCGAACGGGUGAGGAAUGCAUCGGAACGUGCCCAGUAGUGGGGGAUAGCCCGGCGAAAGCCGGAUUAAUACCGCAUACGACCUGAGGGUGAAAGCGGGGGACCGAAAGGCCUCGCGCUAUUGGAGCGGCCGAUGUCGGAUUAGCUAGUUGGUGGGGUAAAGGCUUACCAAGGCGACGAUCCGUAGCUGGUCUGAGAGGACGACCAGCCACACUGGGAGUGAGACACGGCCCAGACUCCUACGGGAGGCAGCAGUGGGGAAUUUUGGACAAUGGGGGCAACCCUGAUCCAGCCAUGCCGCGUGCGGGAAGAAGGCCUUCGGGUUGUAAAGCGCUUUUGUUCGGGAAGAAAUCCUCUGGGCUAAUACCCCGGGGGGAUGACGGUACCGGAAGAAUAAGCACCGGCUAACUACGUG
rnacentral:rRNA from 1 species